AGAGUUUGAUCAUGGCUCAGGACGAACGCUGGCGGCGUGCCUAACACAUGCAAGUCGAGCGAGAAAGUCUCCUUCGGGAGAUGAGUACAGCGGCGAACGGGUGAGUAACACGUGAGCGAUCUGCCCGGCGGCGGGGGAUAACCCAGGGAAACCUGGGCUAAUACCGCAUACUGCACCGGCUUGGAAGCCGGAUGUGAAAGCUGGCCUCUCGAAGAAGCUAGCACCGUCGGAUGAGCUCGCGGCCUAUCAGCUUGUUGGUGGGGUAACGGCCUACCAAGGCGAUGACGGGUAGCUGGCGUGAGAGCGUGGCCAGCCACACUGGGACUGAGACACGGCCCAGACUCCUACGGGAGGCAGCAGUGGGGAAUAUUGCGCAAUGGGCGAAAGUCUGACGGAGCAACGCCGCGUGAGUGAAGAAGGGUUUCGGCUCGUAAAACUCUGUUGUCAGGGAAGAACGCCGACGGGAGUAACUGCUCGUCGGGUGACGGUACCUGACCAGAAAGCCACGGCUAACUACGUGCCAGCAGCCGCGGUAAUACGUAGGUGGCAAGCGUUAUCCGGAAUUAUUGGGCGUAAAGCGCGCGUAGGCGGUUCGUUAAGUCUGAUGUGAAAGCCCCCGGCUCAACCGGGGAGGGUCAUUGGAAACUGGCGGACUUGAGUGCAGAAGAGGAGAGUGGAAUUCCAUGUGUAGCGGUGAAAUGCGCAGAGAUAUGGAGGAACACCAGUGGCGAAGGCGGCUCUCUGGUCUGCAACUGACGCUGAGGUGCGAAAGCGUGGGGAUCAAACAGGAUUAGAUACCCUGGUAGUCCACGCCGUAAACGAUGAGUGCUAAGUGUUAAGGGGGUUUCCGCCCCUUAGUGCUGCAGCUAACGCAUUAAGCACUCCGCCCGGGGGAGUACGGCCGCCAAGGUUGAAACUCAAAAGGAAUUGACGGGGGACCCGCACAAACCGGUGGAGCAAGGUGGUUUUAUUUUGAAGCAACGCCGAAGAACCUUUCCAAAAAUUUGGAAUCCUCUUGACCA
rnacentral:rRNA from 1 species